rnacentral:rRNA from 1 species
UACGUAGGGUGCAAGCGUUAAUCGGAAUCACUGGGCGUAAAGGGCGCGUAGGCGGCGUGGUAAGUCAGAUGUGAAAUCCCGGGGCUCAACCCCGGAACUGCAUCCGAUACUGCCGUGCUUGAGGGUUGGAGAGGUAGCUGGAAUUAUCGGUGUAGCAGUGAAAUGCGUGGAUAUCGAUAGGAACACCGGUGGCGAAGGCGGCAUCCUGGACCGGCAUUGACGCUGAGGCGCGAAAGCCAGGGGAGCAAACGGG